CGCCUGUUUAUCAAAAACAUCUUUUCUCGUUAGUUUUUGAAGUAUGGCCUGCCCACUGACUGUUGUUGAAGGGCCGCGGUAUUUUGACCGUGCAAAGGUAGCAUAAUCAUUAGUUCUUUAAUUGUGAUCUGGUAUGAAUGGCUUGACGAGACAUAAGCUGUCUUGGAAGUAUUAUUUAUUGAAUUUGGUUUUUAAUUAAAAUUCCUAAAUGGUUUUAUGGGAACAAAAGACCCUAUAAAAUUUUACACGUUUUCCCCUUUAUUUGGUGGUUGUUUGUUUUUGUUGAAUGGGAAAGAAUGGUUUGGUGGGGUGAAGGGAAGAAAAAUAUUUAACUCCUCCUUUAUUUUGUAUAUUUAUUUAUAUGUAUUUGAUUCAUUUAUUUUGAUUAAAAAAAUAAAUUACCUUAGGGAUAACAGCGUAA
rnacentral:rRNA from 1 species